AAUAUUGGACAAUGGGGGGAACCCUGAUCCAGCCAUGCCGCGUGUUGGGAGAAGGUCCUCGGAUUGUAAAGCACUUUAUGUUGGGAGGAAGAGUUGUAGGCUAAUACCUUGCAAUUUUGACGUUACCAACAGAAUAAGCACCGGCUAACUUCGCGCCAGCAGCCGCGGUAAUACGAAGGGUGCAAGCGUUAAUCGGAAUUACUGGGCGUAAAGCGCGCGUAGGUGGUUCGUUAAGUUGGAAGUGAAAGCCCCGGGCUUAACCUGGGAAUUGCUUUCAAAACUGACGAGGGAGAGUACGGUAGAGGGUAGUGGAAUUUCCUUUGUAGCGGUGAAAUGCGUAGAUAUAGGAAGGAACAUCAGUGGCGAAGGCGACUACCUGGACUGAUACUGACACUGAGGUGCGAAAGCGUGGGGGGCAAACAGG
rnacentral:rRNA from 1 species